rnacentral:rRNA from 1 species
CUACGUGCCAGCAGCCGCGGUAAUACAGAGGGUGCAAGCGUUAAUCGGAAUUACUGGGCGUAAAGCGAGCGUAGGUGGUCAUUUAAGUCAGAUGUGAAAUCCCCGGGCUUAACCUGGGAAUUGCAUUUCAGACUGGGUAGCUAGAGUACUUUAGGGAGGGGUAGAAUUCCACGUGUAGCGGUGAAAUGCGUAGAGAUGUGGAGGAAUACCGAAGGCGAAGGCAGCCCCUUGGGAAUGUACUGACGCUCAUGUGCGAAAGCGUGGGGAGCAAACAGGAUUAGAUACCCUGGUAGUCCACGCUGUAAACGCUGUCGAUUUGGGGAUUGGGCCUUGAGCUUGGUGCCCGAAGCUAACGUGAUAAAUCGACCGCCUGGGGAGUACGGCCGCAAGGUUAAAACUCAAAUGAAUUGACGGGGGCCCGCACAAGCGGUGGAGCAUGUGGUUUAAUUCGAUGCAACGCGAAGAACCUUACCUACUCUUGACAUCCAUGGAAUCUUGUAGAGAUAUGA